CGCGAGUCCGGCAGGGUGCGAAGGGACGCCGCGCGCCGAGACCAUUGCGCAUGCGCGCGGGGGCCCGUGAGCCCUUGCGAGCCGCGGCACCGGGGACCCCAGGACCCCAGGCCGGGGCUGAGGGCGCUUUCGACCCACACGGAAUGGAAACGCGCGCGUUCGCUGCGAUUUGACACUUGCUUUGAAGGGAAGACCUUGGUUUUCCUUCCUCGUUCCUAAACCGGUAAAACCGCCCUACUGGAAUGACUCCUAGAGAUCAUCUCGGCCAACCACCUGGUUUCUAUUAAUGAAGCGACUAAGAAGACGGGAGGUGACGGAGGUGGGGCGCAGAGGCCAGGGGUGGUUAGCGGGAGUAGACUUUGGAUUCGAGGGAACGGGGUUUGACCUGUGUGAACAUGGGCACGUAACUGGGUUUCCUUGCGCUUUAGUUUUCCGCAGCUCCCUCACAGGGUUGUGGGUCAUAGGACCCACCUCCUCAAUUUGUUUGGAAAAGCAUGAAGGGGUGCCUGGGUGGCUCAGUGGCUUGAGCACUGGACUCUUGAUUUUGGCUCAGGUCAUGAUCCCCGCGUUUUGUGAUCAAGCCCCAAGCCUGCUUAGGAUUCUUUCUCUCCCUCUGCCCCUCUCCCCUGCUCUCUCUCUCUCUCCCCUCUCUCUCAAAUAACAAAAUAACAUGAAAACACUAGCAAAGAGAGCCGAGCACACAGAAAGUGUUCAAUAAGUGCUAGCUUAAAGUCUGGUAAUGCCAGAGUCCAGGGCUCUUGCCGCCGCGGCUCACUCUCAACAGCUCACCUAUUUGGGGCGGCCCAUUGUGAGUGAGCUGUUGGAGAAGGUCAGGGAUUCCUCCGACCUCACACCUAGUCUGGUUUUGAGCUAAUGCCACAGGUGUCAGAGUUUGCGGAGGGGAGAGGCGGGUGGGAGGCAGGCUCAAAUGCCUCAGCCCUGUCCCACCUCCGUCUUGCCGCCACCGGGCUCUCUUGACCAAGAAAAGAGUCCACAUUCUUAGGAGAGAGGAAUAAAAUGAGAGGAAUAAUUAGCCUGAGCUUCCAGUGAUAAGAGGGCACUUGGCAGGUGUUCUUGAUGAUUCUCUUCAGCUUUCCUCCCCUUUCUCAACUUGUCCUGUUUUUUCGUUUGAGGGAGAGAGAGCAAGAGCGAGAGCGCAAGCACCAGCAGGGGAGAGGGGCGGAGGGAGAGAGUGCGAGCGAGCAAGAGACGCCUAAGCAGGCUCCACAUUUCAGGGCGUAGGCUGUUGAGGGGCCUGAUCUAGGACCCUGAGAUCGUGACCCGAGCCAGAAUCAAGAGCCGGAAGCUCAGCCGGCUGAGCCACCCGGCCGCCCCUCAACUUGUACUUUUAUAACUAAUGAAAGUUCUCUUUACAACUCCGAAUUGUGUGUGUGUGUGGGGGGGGGGGGGGUGCCGAGAGACAUUCUCUGCAUUAAAAAAUAAGUACUGGGGAUGCCUGGGUGGUGCAGUCGGUUGAGCGACCGACUUCGGCUCAGGUCAUGAUCUCACGGUGUGUGAGUUUGAGCCCCCCAUGGGCCUUGCUGUUGUCAGCGCAGAGCCCGCUUGGGAUCCUCUCAGCCCCUCUCUCUCUGCCCCUCCCCCACUCCCGCUCUCAAAAAUAAACAUUAAAAAAAUAAUGAAAAUAAACACUUGCACCUUUCCUUUUUCCUGCAUUGGUGCCUGAUGAAGAAUUUAGAGUAAAACUAGUCGCUGCUGUCCAAAGGGGUUGCUUUUAAAUCAGUCCUUAGAAUUGAACACCAGGUGGUUUCAACAGAGCCUGAGUUGGCUCCAGUGAUUCUGGCAAUGACAAGAGAUGGUGAAAAUCACCACAACUAUUUAGGAAGAAAAGCUUCAGCACAAGAUCUCAGUUGCCUUGGGGCAGUCCUGUGUGGGCACCAGCAGCUGCUGAGUUCUUUGGGCAGCUAUCAGAGGCCUGCCUGCCCUUUAAGCCUCAACAGAACAAGAGGGGUUUCUACAGAGAGCCAAAGCUGGGGCAGUCAGGAAGAAAAUGGCAGUGAAGACAACUGUUCUGGAGGGGCACUUGGGACUUCACAAAACCAUUUGGGAGAAAAUAAGGAAGUUUGGCUUUCCUGCAGAAUGAAUGGAAGCAGAGCCAACCAAUUACUCUUUCGCAACUGUUGUUGCAGUCCUUUAUUUACUGUGAAGGACGCUGUUGCCUGAAAAACAGGUCUGCAAACUAAGAGGACUUAUUGCUAAGGUAUCUGUGAAGCUCUUUAAAAUCUGUUAAAUAUAAAAAUUUAUAAAAUAUGCACACACACACACACACACACACACACACACACGCGCACUCCCCAAAUGCAAUUUAACUACCUGAGUCAGAGUGUUGUUAUUUUUUUUAAUAUGAAAGUUAAAACUAAGUACACAGAUGCCAGAAGUCCCUUUCAUUACACCUCAUCUAUUAGAAAUAUAAACCUCAACCAACUUGUUUUUCAACUUCUUUUUGUCGUUAAUGAUGGGACUGGUGAUUUUGAAUGUAUGCCUAAAUUUUUGUUUUUGAAUUUAACUGGACAAAUCUGAUUCUUGCCAGGUUUAUCAACUCUUUGAGUUCUAGUUACGGAGCUACCUCUUUCUGAAUUUCACUCCACCUAACUUCCUUUUUACUGUUCCAUUUCUGAUGUUCAACUGGCUAUUUCAUCUUUACUCAACCUUUCUUACAGUGUGUACUAUGACUGGCUCUUUUAUGUUAAAAGUGAGAUUUGCAUUUUUUAGUAGGAUAACUCUUCCCUUAUCUCUAGAUGCAGAACAAAAUCUAAAUGGAUCUGUCAAGAGACACCCUAGCCCCAGAACAAGACUUGUUCAAUGAAGGUUAUGGACAGAAUGACUAAUAGGCUUUUUAUCACCAUGGAGUCUUCAUUCAACAAGUAUUUAUUGAGCAUUAGUUAGGUGCCAGCCAGUACACUAGGCACUGUAAUAAUAAGUACUAUCUCUUUACUCUUGGUGCUUAAGCUAUUGAGAAAGACAGUAUUAAACAAUGUUUAAGUAUUAUGCAUAUUAAGAUAGGGGAAUAUUCAGCUGUCAUCUGUACAGUUAUGGUUUUUCAUCUUUUAGGUGGGGGAAGUCAUAGACUCCUUGCAUUUGAUCAAUGUCAUAGACCUUUGCCCUAGAAAACAAACAUACCCUCAAAAUCUUGCCAAUAAUUUCAAGUUAUUCAUGUGUCCUUUUGAAGCCUUUCCAUGCACUCUGGGUUUAGGAUUCCUACCAUAAAUGAAAAACACUAAAAUCAGAUGAAACCAGAAGAAGCAGGAAUCCUAAAAUAUAUGAAGGGGAAGAGAGACAAAGUGCUGAGGAGUAAGAGCAGCAAGAAUGAAAAAUACGUUUCCACAGAUUUAUUUUAACAUGUGUCAUCCCCAGCCAACAUACAUAAUUAAUGCUUCCUGGAACAAUCCCCUAUGGAGGAACCAAUGCCCCACCAAGUGAACCUUGCCCUCCCAUACAAGAACACUUUAAGAAGCUACCAGCUCCUUCACCUUUAUAGCAACAUGAUGAGUGCCCUGGAUCAAAGUCUUCUGCCGAUCCAUAGACAGGCGACCACAACCAAUAACCAGUUUGCAAAGAAAUGUACGUUUGGGAAGGAGCUGCUGCUUCCCUUCCACAUUUGGUUUUAACUGUGCCUGAAGCAAGAUUCAGUCCUGGAGAAUUUAAAUGACCUUACCUUCCAGCUUUUCCACCAGAGGACGCUGUUCCUGGUCUGCACGUGGUCAUCUUCUUGUAGCUUCACAUGGUGAGGAGAGAGAGGAAGCAAGCCCUAUCUUGUCUCUUCUUAUCUCAGAUGCUUAUGACUGGCUGCCACUGACUGGGAAAGAGAAUCUACACUGGGAAUCCUCUAACAUCAGAGAUUCAGGAGACUGAGAAGUCCAAGACCAAGGUGCUGGCUGACUUUGCUCAUAGUGAAGACCCUGUUCCUGGUCUGCACAUGGUCGUCUUCUCCUUGUAGCUUCACAUGGUGAGGAGAGAGAGGAAGCAAGCUCUCUCUUAUCUCUUCUUAUAAAGACGCUCAUCUUAAAGAAGAUGUGAUAUUACUUGGCAAUCAAAAAGAAUGAAA